GUUUUUUUCUGGAUCAAACCUGCUUUAUAAAUGGACAUUUUGGGUAUAUAUGGACGGAAUUAAUCGAAAAAAAGGACCAAUUGUGAUGUUUAUGGAACAUAUUGGAGUGCCAACAAAGAAGCUCGUCAAAGAACAUGGAGCCAGUUCAAAUGGAUAAGAAUCACCGAAGAUGCGUCGAAGGUUAUCUGUAUUUGGGCCCAGAUGACGGAACGGAUCACUGUCUGUGUGUGUCUGUCUGCAGAUCACAUGGACAGUGUCCUCUAUAGUUGAUUGUAAUGAACGGUUUCUCUAGAACCUUCCAGGACUCAGUCACAGCUGCCAUCUUCCUCCUCCCUGUUUAAUGACGAUCCCGGAGGUCUCUUCAGUACGGACCAGACUUCACCUCUGAUCAAUAGAAACAGGACACCUUCCAUCCUUGUGUGAAUUCAUUCUGUCUGUGGAUACAGAGAACAUCAACGUGCCAGAGGAUAAACCCAUUGGACUUGGG